GAUGAAGAACGCAGCGAAAUGCGAUAAGUAGUGUGAAUUGCAGAAUUCAGUGAAUCAUCGAAUCUUUGAACGCACAUUGCGCCCUUUGGUAUUCCUUAGGGCAUGCCUGUUCGAGCGUCAUUUAAACCUUCAAGCUAAGCUUGGUGUUGGGUGACUGUCCGCUUCACGGCGGACUCGCCUCAAAAUUAUUGGCGGCCGGUAUAUUGGCUUCGAGCGCAGCAGAAACGCGAACUCGGGCCCGUCGUAUUGGCUCCCAGAAGCUAUCUUCACGAUUUUGACCUCGGAUCAGGUAGGGAUACCCGCUGAACUUAAGCAUAUCAAUAAGCGGAGGA
rnacentral:misc_RNA from 1 species